UGUAAAUCUGCGAUAAAGUAGGUAGUCUCCCCUUAGGUAUAAAAACGGUUUAACCAACAGAGCAGACACCAUUCUUCUUAACGCAUCGUCUGCAUCCAGAGUCAUGAAGAAAGUGGCUUUAAUUACGCUGAUGGUGAUAGUUGUAUUUGCCGUCUUUAUAGACCAGGCUAAUGCUCAAAUUGACUGGGCGUGCACUGCAAGCUGUUCAAUCUGGAAUGCUUGUAAAAUAAGGAAUAUGUAUGAAGGUGAAGAUGUAGCCGAGUGCGGUGAUCCUCCGCAAGGAUGCAAAUGUGAUGUUAUAGCAACAGGCAGAUGAUGUAGUAGUUGGCAGAUAAGGGCAUAUCUGGGUGUUGACAGAUUCAUUUUUGUUUUGCGUAAUAUUUAGCUUCACUUCACUGUUAAAAGCACACAUUCAGCUUAAGUCUGAAACAUUCACUGGAUGUCAUGCAUAAGUAGCCUUAUUUAGUUUACUCUUCAAUCUUAUUAAGUAUAUAUUAUAAUACAUGCUUUGUUGCACUUUAAUUUAAAUAAAUACGUUUGUUUGGUUUAAUCCAAUACAUUAGAGAAAACA